CAAGUUCAACAAAUGGCCACAGAGGGCGAAAAAAUCGACCGCGCGGCGCUGCUAAAGAAACAGGCAUAGUACGCCAAUUAAAAAGGUUCCCCGUUGAGCGCAUUAUCUCCCGCUAGAGGCGCCGUAGUAAGCGCAAUUUGAACCUACAAACUUUCUUCAACAGUAAACGAAGCGUUUUUAUUGCAUGAUAAAGACUACAAAAGUAUAUUUCCUAAUUUUACAUUGUACUUUUCAUUACCAACUUUGUUGUUUUUUGUCAUUUUAAACGCAAAAUAGCGUUCAGCAUCAUCGACCUCCCACGUGACCUCUGGCCUGGAUUUAAAAUUUUUACCGGUAUGUUCGCGUGCACGGCAGGUACGGAUUCCUUGGUUCGUACAUUGGUUGGUUAUUUUGUGCUAACACCAGUUUAUUGCGCUUCGAUAUCUCGCGUUAUUUAACUUGGGGUGUAAGCCUGAAAGCUAGGUUUCAGUCGUGAGCCAUGUGGAACACGUCUGCAUCGAAAUGGGAGCCGGGUCCUGCUGCGUCUGGGGACAGCAAUACCGACAUGCAGUAAUGAGGAUGGCACCAGUAUAAAGCAACACACUCCAUGCACUAAACAGAAGCUGCUGCCUGCUACAACAAGGUCAUUGUGUGGACUUUGGCUGCUACUACAAGAGUCUGUGCCAAGUACAUCUUGGUCAUCAUGGGAGCCCCCAUCUACACCAACAGGAAGGGGCUGGAGCUGAAUUCACAAGACCACGGACAAAGAAGCCAUUCCAGAAUUAUUUGGAUGAGAUAUCAAGUAUACGGACGAGUGUUUCAAGAGUGAAAAGAGCCUACGCCAUCAUUCCACCAGCACGGAUAUUGGCCGAGUCAUCCAGGUACCUCAACAACAAAAAUUAUUUGUCUUCAGAUGUACCUGCAACCUCUGAACAAGCACAGACGACGCUGGCUAAGAGUGUUCUGUCAGCUUGCCCUUCCUUAGGGAGCUCCCUGGCCUUGCCAAUUCCUGCCAAGUAUAAUUUUGUUUCAAUGAAUGCACGCUUCUUCAUUCCACACUUUUGUUAGAGAUCAUCCCUAUUCCUCAUACAAACAUUAAAGGUCAACCGAUUCUUUGCUCAUACUUAAUGCCAGUCACUGUCUAGUAGCAUAACAUAUGUGUAGCAGUUCUUUCUAGUGUAUGUUGCCAUGUGCAAUUCCUCUCCUGAAAUAGCUGAUGCGGCAUUGGUGUGUGUCUUGCAUUAACCUUUACACUGUGUGCUAUGUAGCAUUUAACUUUUGUUAAUGUUUUUGGCUUUCAGUGCUUGCAAGGUAGAGUGGCUUCUUUCUUGAAUGCAAGCUUUCUCAUUCCCAUAUUGAAUUCCUAGCCUCAUUCAGGAUUGCUAUUCUUGCUCGACAGCCUGUGUUUUUGUGCAAGCUACAUUGAAGAGAUUGAUUGCAGAAUAUGGUUUCGGCGCUGUGUGACUUGGUACUUGUCACCGUGUUACGUUUCUCAUAUGUGGGAGCCUGGUCAGUUGCAUUGGGAAACAGUCUCUCGAGGCAAGCACCUGCUCCUACAGUCUGCACAGUGACAUAGACUGCGAAUUUACACGCACCGUGGUUGGUGCUCCCCGUUCCGUCCUUUCCUGCUGCUGCCGUGUGCAAAUUUUGCUUGUGGCCUUCCUCAGCCAUGAUUUGGCGUCAACGGAGACUCUCAUACAUAAUUACAUGGUUGUAAGUGUAUGAAGUUGAUAUCCAAAUUUGUGGAAAGGCCUGCAAAAUAGUUAUGUCCACAAAACCGACCAUGUCCAUAUAUAGAGAAUGUGGCGGACCAAGUGUGAGUUAUACAUUAGUGGCAUGCAAAAGAACUAAAAGAAACAUGCAGGUUGGAAAGGCGGUAACGCUAAAAUGCCGGGCACUCCAUGUCGCUGUUGGCUGUGGCAGCAGAUGCUUGCGUCACCCGAUUGUUUCGCAAUGCAAGUUGCUCAUAUUCAACGCCAACUGUCGGUGCAAACACGUGGGACACACUGUCCAAUCUGCUUGUGCUGCUGGUUGUUGCUUGUUACCAGACUGCAGUGUGCGACGAAGGCAAGCACUAUGCCUACAGUCGGACGGUUGAAUG